ensembl:lncRNA
CCGCCAACGAGACAUAUGAGGCCGGGCAGGCGAUUGCUAACGCGGUGGUCAAUCAUGGAUCAGGGAAAGUGAAGGCAGGAGCGUGAGGUGAACUGAAUUUCAGGUAAGAAGUUAUGAACUGCACUCUAUUUGGGUCAGAUAUAAACCGAGUUUAGGUGUAGUUUAUUUAGCAGCAGUUCUCUUAUGUGUUGCUGAUAGCCGGCUAGCUAGCUAGCGCCGCUAGCAUAGUUAGCUCGCGCCGCUAGCAACCCUUCGUGAAAAAGCACCCAGGC